rnacentral:rRNA from 1 species
UCAAGCUACAAAGAGCACAAGGGGAAUGCCUUGGCACCGAGAGCCGAUGAAGGACGUGACUAACUGCGAUAAGCUACGGGGAGCUGUAAGUGAGCGUUAUAUCCGUAGAUUUCCGAAUGGAGCAAUCCGAUUAGAGGAAAGUCUAAUCAUCAUAUACUGAAUACAUAGGUAUAUGAGGGGAACCGCCUGAACUGAAACAUCUAAGUAGGGCGAGGAAGAGAAAUCAACUGAGAUUCCGUAAGUAGUGGCGAGCGAACGCGGAAGAGGCCAAACCUAAUGUAGUAAUAUGUUAGGGGUUCGGACAGUAUAAUGAAUUGUCGAGAUUUAGCCGAAUGUCAUGGGAAGGGCAAUCAAAGAAGGUGAAAAUCCUGUAGGCGAAAAGUUAAGACAUCAGACUGUAUCCAGAGUACCGCCGGACACGUGAAACCCGGUGGGAAUACGGGGGGACCAUCCUCCAAGCCUAAAUACUACUCGGUGACCGAUAGAGAAGAAGUACUGUGAAGGAAAGGUGAAAAGCACCCCGGAAGGGGAGUGAAAGAGAACCUGAAACCUUGUGUUUACAAGCACCGAAAGUUCAUCAACGAACGAUCGGGUACCUUUUGUAGAAUGGUCCGGCGAGUGAAUGUAACUGGCAAGGUUAAGCACUUAAGGUGUGAAGCCGUAGCGAGAGCGAGUCUGAAAAGGGCGCAUGAAGUCAGUUGUAUUCGACCCGAAACCGGGUGACCUACCCAUGUCCAGGCUGAAGUGCAGGUAAAACUUCAUGGAGGGCCGAACCGACUCCCGUUGAAAUGGUAGCGGAUGAGGUGUGGGUAGCGGAGAAAUUCCAAUCGAACCCGGAGAUAGCUGGUUCUCUCCGAAAUAGCUUUAGGGCUAGCCUUGGAAUAGAUUACUGGAGGUAAAGCACUGAAUUGGCUAGGGGCCGAGAGGUUACUGAACCUUAUCAAACUAAGAAUGCCAGAUAAUCGUUUUCCAGGAGUCAGACAGUGGGAGAUAAGUUUCAUUGUCAAAAGGGAAACAGCCCAGACCUACAGCUAAGGUCCCAAAGUAUAGUUAAGUGGAAAAGGAUGUGGAAUUGCAUAGACAACCAGGAUGUUGGCUUAGAAGCAGCCACUCAUUAAAAGAGUGCGUAAUAGCUCACUGGUCGAGUGAUUCUGCGCCGAAAAUUUAACGGGGCUAAACUAUACACCGAAGCUUAGGAUACCGCAAGGUAUGGUAGGAGAGCGUUCUGUACGGAGUGAAGUCGUAGCGAAAGCGGCGGUGGACUGUACAGAAGUGAGAAUGCCGGAAUAAGUAGCGAGAAUUAAGUGAGAAUCUUAAUGGCCGAAAGUCUAAGGUUUUUGGAGGAAGGUUCGUCCGCUCCAAGUAAGUCGGGAGCUAAGGUCAGGCCGAAAGGCGUAGCCGAUGCACAAACGGUUGAUAUUCCGUUACCGUCUACAAUUUAAACAAGGGGACACAUACAAAGCGUUUAACCCGGGCGAUGGUUGACCCGGGCGCAAGGGACUGAAAUAAGAGUAGGGAAGUAAAUGUGGCGUAUGGCGAGAAAAGCCUUGUGAAUAGAAGUAGAUGCCCGUACCGCAAACCGACACAGGUGGACAGGAAGAGAAUUCUAAGGCCAGCGGGAGAAGGGUAGUUAAGGAACUCGGCAAAUUGACUCCGUAACUUCGGAAUAAGGAGUGCUCGAAAGAGCCGCAGAGAAUAGGCCCAGGCGACUGUUUAGCAAAAACACAGGUCUCUGCCAAAUCGAAAGAUGAAGUAUAGGGGCUGACACCUGCCCGGUGCCGGAAGGUUAAGAGGAGGAGUGCAAGCUCCGAAUUGAAGCCCCGGUAAACGGCGGCCGUAACUAUAACGGUCCUAAGGUAGCGAAAUUCCUUGUCGGGUAAGUUCCGACCCGCACGAAUGGUGUAACGAUCUGGGCACUGUCUCAAUUACCCGCCCGGCGAAAUUGUAGUACCGGUGAAGAUGCCGGUUACCCGCGACAAGACGGAAA